UACGUAGGGUGCAAGCGUUAAUCGGAAUUAGCUGGGCGUAAAGCGUGCGCAGGCGGUUGUGCAAGACCGGAUGUGAAACUCCCCGGGCCGUUAACCUUGGGAAGUGCAUUGGGUGACUGCACGGCUAGGAGUGUGUCAGAGGGGGGUAGAAUUCCACGUGUAGCAGUGAAAUGCGUAGAGAUGUGGAGGAACACCGAUGGCGAAGGCAGCCCCCUGGGUCAAGAUUGACGCUCGAUGACACGAAAGCGUGGGGAGCAAACAGG
rnacentral:rRNA from 1 species